CCUACGGGCGGCUGCAGUGGGGAAUAUUGGGCAAUGGGCGCAAGCCUGACCCAGCAACGCCGCGUGAAGGAAGAAGGCUUUCGGGUUGUAAACUUCUUUUGACAGGGAAGAGCAGAAGACGGUACCUGUCGAAUAAGCCACGGCUAACUACGUGCCAGCAGCCGCGGUAAUACGUAGGUGGCAAGCGUUGUCCGGAUUUACUGGGGGUAAAGGGCGUGUAGCCGGGCUGACAAGUCAGAUGUGAAAUCCGGGGGCUCAACCCCCGAACUGCAUUUGAAACUGUUGGUCUUGAGUAUCGGAGAGGCAGGCGGAAUUCCUAGUGUAGCGGUGAAAUGCGUAGAUAUUAGGAGGAACACCAGUGGCGAAGGCGGCCUGCUGGACGACAACUGACGGUGAGGCGCGAAAGCGUGGGGAGCAAACAGGAUUAGAUACCCCUGUAGUC
rnacentral:rRNA from 1 species